AUUGAACGCUGGCGGCAGGCCUAACACAUGCAAGUCGAGCGGAUGAGUGGAGCUUGCUCCAUGAUUCAGCGGCGGACGGGUGAGUAAUGCCUAGGAAUCUGCCUGGUAGUGGGGGACAACGUUUCGAAAGGAACGCUAAUACCGCAUACGUCCUACGGGAGAAAGCAGGGGACCUUCGGGCCUUGCGCUAUCAGAUGAGCCUAGGUCGGAUUAGCUAGUAGGUGAGGUAAUGGCUCACCUAGGCGACGAUCCGUAACUGGUCUGAGAGGAUGAUCAGUCACACUGGAACUGAGACACGGUCCAGACUCCUACGGGAGGCAGCAGUGGGGAAUAUUGGACAAUGGGCGAAAGCCUGAUCCAGCCAUGCCGCGUGUGUGAAGAAGGUCUUCGGAUUGUAAAGCACUUUAAGUUGGGAGGAAGGGCAGUAAGUUAAUACCCUGCUGUUUUGACGUUACCAACAGAAUAAGCACCGGCUAACUUCGUGCCAGCCGCCGCCGUAACAC
rnacentral:rRNA from 1 species